rnacentral:lncRNA from 1 species
UACCCCACAAAAUAAUGUACAAUUUAUAAUCCCUUCUUCAACAUACCUUUUUUCUUAGCUAAGAUAAGAGAAAAAUCUAAAAACUAAGAACAUGAAAAGAAGAAUAAAAUGUAAUAUCAUAAAAAAGAACAAUAACCCUCACCCCCAACUUCUUUUCUUGUUCUCAUUUAUUUACCUACUCUCAAAUUCCAUAAAUAAUAUUUCAAUGUCUUAACAAAUAACACACCCACUUGGAGACUCUUCCACAGUUUGGUAAUAGUAAUAAGGAUAUGGUUGUCUCAUUUGAUUAUAAUGUGUUUCAAAAGCCUUCACAAGAUCAGCCAAUUCUUCUUUUGGGUCCUUUUUAUUUGGCUCUUCCUUCUUGUCUUCUUCUUUCUUUUGUUCAUCUUUUUUCUCUUCUUUGGCUGGUCCAACAGAAACUAUUUCAGCAUGACAUAGUUUUCUUAACUUUCCCACCACAUCAACAGUAUCUAUGUCUCCAACUAAUGUUAGUUUUUGAUCCUUCAUGUCCACUGAAACAGACUCAACCCCUAAAAAAGGAAAUAACAAAAACAAUUAUAAAAAAAUACUUUAUUCCAUUUUUCUUCCUUGAUUUUUAGAGUAUAAAAAAGUACUCCCAAAAUAAGUGACUUUGUUUGAUUAUUAUACUAUUCACAGAACGUUCUUUGACCAUCACAUAUAAGAUAUUGUAUUUGUCUCGAUGAAUAUUUUUAUAAUUUUUACUAAUACAUUAUUGAAAAUAUUGAAGAUCAAAGAUGUACUUUGACACGUGUGCAACUGUAAACAAAAAUAUAUAUCAAAUUUUCAUAUAAUUAUUAGAUGACUAGAUGUUGAAAUUCCAUACCUGAAAGACCAGAUACUGUCUUCAUGGCUUUUUUCUUGAUUCUAUCAUCAUAGAGUUCUACCUUUAGCACUAUUUUCUGUUAAAGACAAAUGAAAGAGCUUUUAAUUAUUAUAAUUUCUAACCAUGAAAAAUUUAAAGAUAAUCUCCAAUUGAAUACUCAAAAGGGAAAUUAAAGAACAAAAAUAUUUAAAAAGGCAUCUAAUUUGAUUACCAAAACUUGAUCUCAAACUUUGAGUAUAAAAAAU